CUCCCGAAUCUUCUCCAAUCCUCUACCUCUCCACUCCUGUUAUCUUCUCAGACCUCCUCCCGCAUCUCACCUCCUCCAUGCUAAUCGCUGCACCGAGCAGAGCUCUCCGCUGCGCGACCUCCCCAUGGCCGCCGGCCUCUCCCUUGCCCCGAGCUGCCGGCCUCGCCCCAUCCUUCCCAAUUUUCCCAUGGCUGCGCGCCCGAGCCCGCGGAACCGCGUCGCGGCGGUGGCGAGUCUUCGGAGGGGAACGGCGCGAUGUCGUGCCGCUGAACAGUCUCAGAGGACGGGGCUUACGGAGUAUCUCCAACCAACUAAAGAGGAGGAGCUCGGGCGGUGUUCCAGUAUCCCCCUUUCUCGGAUGCGCGGACGUUGGCACCGGCGGGCGCUCAACACCGCUCCCGCACCCGCCCUUCGUCCCAGGCUGGCACCCUUAUUCGCACUCCCUGCCCGCGUGCUCUUCAGCCCCCUGGCGGAGUUGAUGGAGGAGCCUGGCGCCCUCCUCUCCUCCAGAAGUGGCUGAGGGUGCGGAUGAGGAUCUACGCACCCUCCCCUCUUCCCAGAAGUGGCGAUUAUGGGAGGAGCUACCCAUGUCUGUUAUGCUAUCCCCCGAUGCAGCCAUGGCGAGGCUAGCAGCACGGUGGAGGAGAUCGGCACCCUCCUCUUCUCCUGAGGCGGCGGGCGACAUGGAGGAAGAUCUGGGCGCCCUCCUCUCUCUCUAUCUUGAGACGGCAUGCUUAUGGGAGGGGCUGACGCGGGCGGUGCUCCCUCCCGGAUGCAUCUACUGGUGAUCCCUCUCUUUUUGUACAACGCGGCCAUGACUAAGGCGGCAGCGAGUUGGGCCUGGCUGGUGGUCUACAUCGCAUUCGUUUUGUUAAUUUCAUGAUAGACUGUGAUGCAAAACCUUUUACAUGAUUUGUGUGUUUGUUGUCAGUCUCUUAUUCCAGUUUCGCAGUGUGGAAACGUGCGAGUAAGGAGCGAAUGUAUGUAGGUGCUGCAGCCUGCAGCAGUGUCUGCAUUGUGGAUGUCUGAUGGUUCAUCUGGAGUGUACGGCCUCGGAGUUUUCCUUCAAGUCUGUUGUUACUCUUGCUAUCUAAAUUUGCAAGAUGUACAACUUAGUACUGUUGCGGACGGAAACUCUACCCUUGCAUGCUCAACAGCAACAUGGCACAUCCAGUUUUUCAGGACAGAGCGACUCAGUGCUGGAGGUUUAGUUCAUGUUCUUCGGUUAUGUUACUGCUCGAAGAAGAUCUGAGAAAAGAAUAUUUCCGCAAAUUGUGCAAUGUGUUCUAUUUAGUGAACAGUUACUAAUUGGAUGACAGGUCUUGACCUUCAGCUUUUCAGAGCGCAAGGGAUCAUCUAUGCAACACUUUGCUCAGUAGAGUUAAUACUUGGUGCCACAACCAUUUGUUGUUCUAUCAAUCCACGCCUCUUCAUUACCUCUGAUCCUUCCAGUCCAAUUAAUGAUUUUUUGAAGAGAUUCAGACUGACUAUGAGUAAGUCACAACAAACUGAGAAGAUAAAAGGGAUGGACGAGAUAGAUUAUUAGCGGGACGAGACGCCCCAGGUGCCCUCCAUGUAGGAGAACAUUUCAUAAUGGUAUACAUUGGAAAUAUAGUCUAGGCAAUUUCGUAAUUAUGAUCAUAUUUCUGCUAUAGUCGAUGUAGUACAUGAUCCAUUCUCUGAACAAGAAACAUUAUAUAUCAAGAAGUGGUUGACUAUUUGUAGAAAUUCUUGCUACGCCCUACGCAUAAAGAUUCAUCUCAGCAACAACAUCAGGUGGUUAGUGCUAUCUUUUCGCCAUGGGCUUCUGGCAGAAUGGAUGUUGCGUACCUUACAAUGAAGUUUUCUUUAUGAUUCUUAGUGCUGAUCUGUAGGCUUGGGUGUAACUUAUCUUGCUGGUCGUGUGCUUGACUACUUUGUGGUGCCCAUGGCCGAUCUGUAGGCAUGUAGCUGUUCUUACUAUCGGUGGGUUCGAACAAACUUGGUUUGAAAUGCUCAGGCGGUAUGUACUCUUUACGGUUGUACCAUAGUUUUUUUUUUUUGUAAUAUCAAUGACUGAUGUGUGCUCCGUAACUUGUGCUUCAUUUCCUAGCGAAAGGUAGUAUCUUUAUUGUUGAUC